AAUCAACCUGUAUUGCAAAGCUUGCUAAUUACAAGAUAACAGUAUUAUUAAAGCUGUUUAUGUGCUCUUUGGCAGCAGAUUCAAAUUUAAAUCUGGUUGUUAAAUCAGUGUUUGACCAUGUCUGCAUACUAUUUCAUUUCAGACAAAAAUACAUGUGUAAAUGCAUUUGUAAAAACCAUUUGCUUUUGAAUUAAGCUUUUCGUGUUUCUGCUACCAAUAUGGAAUCUUUCUCCUAAAGGAACUAUCUCCUUUUGAUUGUUUCUAGAACACUGAUGUAGAAAUAUGGUACAGGGACUGCUUUUUCCAGCCUAUGUCACCCAACACUGAUAUUCAAGAAUAACUUACCAAAGUAACCUUGUGCAACAAGUAAAUUAUGCUCUGUUUUUAGUACAGGUUAGCCCUGAAGAUGAAUUUUUAUCUGUUUAAGUAUGCUUUGGGUCUUGGAAGUAUUAUCCUUAUGUUUUGAAUGUUAUUAUUUUCAUAAAACUGUCAUUAUGCAUGAUUCACCUUUGGUUCUCUCUUCACACCAUGAAUUAAAUGCAUAGCAAGCAAGAACUGCUAUCAUUUUGUGCAUGAUUUUGUCAAUCUCUAUUAUGAGUUUAGAGAGAGUCCUGAUUAUGGACUUGCUCCUUCAUGGGAAGCAUCAUCAAAGAUUUAAACUCAAAACAUGCUAGACAAGCAGCAAUUUUAUCUCACUUGGCUUAACUUUAGCCGGUUUUAACCUAUCUAAUCCCAAUAGUCCCAAGCUCAUAAAAGUUCUACAGCAUUUCCAGACUGGACAAAAGUUGUGUUUUUGUCCCUUGUUUUUCUUCAUUCAUAUUCUUUUUGAUCUUUUUGUUUAGUUUAGUUUUGUUUCUGUUCAUUUUUUUUCUUUUAGAUUUUAAAAAGAGUUGUGUGUCUAGUAUGUUUUGAAUCUGAAGACUCUAGAACCGUGAUGGCAAACCUAUUGCACGUGUGCCGAAAGUGGCAUGCAGAACUAUCUCCGCCAGCACGUAAGCCAUCGCCCUGGAGCAGGUCCACUGUGCAUGUGUGCGCGCUGCCUGCCCACCAGCUGAUCGUCGGGCAGCUGCCGCGCAUAUGUGGGGGCAGGGCGCGUGCAGGAGAUGCGCACGCAUGAGCAGGGGGCAUGCAUUGCCUUAUGGGUGCUGCCACACGUGUGCACGCACGCAUGUGUGCACGGGCACUUUUGGCGCAAGAGGACAGAAAGGUUAGCCAUCACUGAUCUAGAAUAUGACUGACCAGUCUUUUGGCUUCACUGGGCCACAUUGAGUGAAAAGGAAUUGUCAGCAUAUAAAGUAUAUAAUAUAGUUAAUAUACAUCAAUAACAAACCUUUUAAUAUUUGUAUUAUCUUGUAGAGCUACAUUAGCAGUUGUCCAGGGUUAGCCACAGGUUGGACACACCUGCUCUAGAUGCUGCUGGACUUGUUCCUAACCAAUAUCUCCAUUUUCUAUAGGUGGACAUAUACUGUAUACAAGUAAUCCCCAGGUUAAGAGUGUUCCCUUACGUUUGAAGUUACACGAUAAGCGCCCCCUAGGGUUUAUGAACACAUUCCGAAACUACGAAUCUUGCAGCACCGUGGUAGUUAUUCGCCCUUACAAACAACUGCAAAGGCUCUGCAACAUUCAUAUUGAAUGUUGCCAGCCAAAAUGGAGCUUCUGAGUGAUGGAUCUGUCCCUCCAAUGUGCUGUUCAGGCCUCCAGAGGCCUCACCCAGCAUGUUGCAGGCCGAAAUGGAGUAUUGGAGGGCCUCUGGAGGCCUGAGCAGAACGUCUGAGGGGAACAUGCAGCUGAGAGCCUGGAAAGGAGACUGCUUGCUAGAUCUUCACACAGUAAAUGACCUGCCUCAGCAGGUUAGUGGAGGGGAAAAGCAAUUGUGGGGAGCAUGAGAUAUUUCAGAGGGUCGGGGUGGCCUUGGGUGGUUUUAGGCAUGUGGCCUGUGUCAUCACUAGGCCCCCAUGGCCUUCGCCACCAUGAAAUACCUCAUGUGCACUUAACGAGCCUCACAUUCAAAUAGCGAAUACAUGGGUGAAAGGUGGGAGUGAUCCCAUUCAAAGUACAAGAUUCACUCCCACGAAUCCUCAGGUUACGAAUGGAAUGGGCAGAUGCCAUUACAUUCAUAACUCAAGGACUACCUGUAUAAUUUAGAGACUCAAAUUGGUAAGCAUCGUUUUUCACCAGAGUAUCAAUUAAAGAUAUAAUUCAGUAAAUAUAUACUGCACAUGCAGAGGACAAUAAAUAUUUAUUCAAAGUGAAGUAAGGAAAAACAAAAUAAACAAAGGAUCAAAAACAAUUAUGAGGAACUCCUAAAAUUAGGCAUAAAAUACAGGAACUCUAUUUGCCCACAAAUCAUUUCCACGUGAUUUUUGUAAACUCUUUAACUUAUCAUUGCAACUCUACAGCACAGCUACAUCUAAAUCCAAUGGCAUAAUUAUGGCUUCAAACGUUUUGAAUUUUUUUUUUCCUGGAAAUAAUCUGACUACAAGACAGUCAUUAGAUAUUAUCAGAUAGAUUUACAUGCAAAAUCUAUAUUAUUGCACUAUAUUGUUAUACAACAUCCAACACUAGAAACAAAAUAAAUCUGCUUUGCUUAACCUCUAGCUUAUUAAUUAUUGCAAGGCUCUCACAUCAUCUGGCAUAAAAUAACAACUAAAAAUCACAGCAGUUUUAUCAAACACCACAGUUAGUGAUUCUUGAAGUAAAAUGCAGCUUGACAAACAUAGUUACAACUUGUAAACACAGUUAGCUCACAGCACCUUUGUCUGUCUCUAGGGAAUAUAAGAAUGUCUCCUCAAACUGGUUUUGUUGUAGAUAUUGGAAGAUAUUAAAGUUCAGGAUUGCAUUUUAAAGAUUAAAGAAGGUGCAAUGAAGAAAAAUUGAGUCCUAAAUCACAUCUCUUAGGGUUUUCACCAAGGAAGAAAGUGAGGCAUCUCUGUGGGGAAUUCUUGUAGUUUGAGGAGAUUGGAGCUAAAAGGUGCACCUGAAGGGAGGAAGAAAGCAUAUUUUUCUCAGCUAAAAUAGUCCCUGCUUAUCUCACAAAAGAUUGUAUAUUGUGGUCAUAGAAAAAUAAUCACAGCUUUAUAGAAAAUUGGUAGUUUUUCCCAAGGGGAGGCAAAUGAACUAAACUAGCUGAAGGAAAGAGGAGAAAAGCUCAGAAUUUUCCAAAGAUAAGGAAGAAAGCAAUUAACUUUCUAAGACUGUUUAACUUUCAGAAACAAUCUAUCCUUUGAAAAGUGACCACAUUAUUCAAGAAGUAGACAAUGUUUUCCCUACUGAUUUCAUGUAUUAAUAUUUUAUCUUAAUUGAAGAAUGGGGAAAUUAUUUUCUUUCCUUCUCAAAGGCAAAACAUACAGAAAAGAACAAAUUCCAAACAUGAACAACAAAAAGAUGAGUCCUUACAUCGUUUCUCCCUGAUCACUAAAACAGGUUCAUAGGAACAUAAUGCUUCCUUUGAAGCUUCAUUGAAACAAACUAAGGUACAACUCCCAAAACCAGGAAUGUAAAAAGUUGAUACCCUGGCAAACAUUUUACAUCAUAGAACUUCUACAAUGAGAUAUUAUAGGCUUUGGAAGCAGGAGAAUUAGAGCAAAAUGGAUGUACUUAACCCUGACUCAUUUGGAGUUUUAUUUGCAUGCAGAUGUUGCAAACCUUUUUGAACUUUUCUUAUGCAAGUGUUAUUUGAAGGAUAUCCCUGGUGGGUUGGGCUUAAUAAGCGGUUAAGCACAUCUAUUUUUGGGACUGUUUCAAGAACACUUGUGUUAACUCAGUUAGAGUCUGUCUCUCUGUCUCUGUCUCUCCCCCUCCCUCCCACUCACUCCCCCGCCUCUUUCUCUCCAAUCUGAUUUAUAAAGUUUGAUUAUGCUAGAUUGACAAUCUGCACCAGGCUACUACAGCUGAAAACAGACAUGGAAAUAUUAAUACUGAAUCAUGAAAAACAAUGGAACUGACACAGAGAGGUAUCUACCAGCAAACCAUUUUCAAUAAUCAACUCCACCCCUUCUCAUGUUCAGUCAUUACUGUUGAUAUAACCAUUUCUGAAGCUAGUAAAAGGUAACAAAGCACUUUAAAGCCAGGGCAUGACUUUACUGCAGUUUGAUGUUUCCAUAUCAAAGAGUCUGCUGUAGGGUACCUUAAUUUUCCUUCAUUGAAGAAAGAAUUAAGGAUAGUCCAGGUAGCAGGAAGCAGAAAAGGAAAGAGAGCAAGAUUGAAACACCAUUUGAUUUGCUAAUGGGCCCAUCUUCACAAGAAUGUCUUUUUUAAAAAAAUCCUAAGUAAGAAAUAAGCAUCCCUAUCAGUCACAGUAAAAGCAGGAAUGUAAAGAAAAUUGAAUUCUCUCAAACCUAACACAUCU